CCAGACUCCUACGGGAGGCAGCAGUGGGGAAUAUUGGGCAAUGGAGGCAACUCUUACCCAGCAAUGCCGCGUGAAUGAAGAAGGUCUUCGGAUUGUAAAGUUCUUUAAUUGGGGACGAAAAAAAUGACGGUACCCAAGGAAUAAGCCCCGGCUAACUACGUGCCAGCAGCCGCGGUAAUACGUAGGGGGCAAGCGUUGUUCGGAAUGACUGGGCGUAAAGGGUGUGUAGGCGGUGUAGCAAGUUAGAAGUGAAAUACCUAGAGCUUAACUCAGGUGCUGCUUCUAAAACUGCUAUACUUGAGUGCAGUAGAGGAAAGUGGAAUUCCUAGUGUAGCGGUGGAAUGCGUAGAUAUUAGGAGGAACAUCAGUGGCGAAGGCGACUUUCUGGACUGUAACUGACGCUGAGGCACGAAAGUGUGGGGAGCAAACAGGAUUAGAUACCCCUGUA
rnacentral:rRNA from 1 species